GUCUAUCUCACAAUUAACCCAUCCAUCUCAUUAUCUAUCCCUGUAUAUAUCUGUAUCUAACUCUCAGUCUUUCUUUCUAUCUAUCUCAAAAUCUGUCUAUUUGUGUAUCUGUUGUUACCUGUCUGUCCGGCCUUGUAUUUGUCUCUCUGUCUGUACAACGUCUGUCCGUGUUGCCAUGGCCACCAAACACACCCCUGACCCCCAGGAUCCCCACUUCCAAGAGGGGAGACGCAUUGGCCCUUGAUAUGAAACUUGACCAGACUCUAGCUGAAGCCAAGAGAGCAGCUGAGGGGAGGAAAAGAGCGCGUUCUGGAGGAGACCCUCCACAGAUCUCUAAGAGGGACUGUGUAGUACGAGGCAAGCCGAGAGGGAGGUGUGGAGGGCGACGCCAAGCCUCAGCUACAGAAACAAGUGCAUGACCAAGACAUGUUAAUAAUGCGACUAAGAGAGGAAGUGAGCAUUUCGGUGUUGGAGAUGGCACAACACGGCACAUGGUGGAAGAACUUGGUUGUGGUUCUCAAAAACAAAGUGGCUGAGGAGGACAAGGGAAACGAAGGGCUUUGCUGUCUCUCAAGAAGAGCACUUUCAGAGGUGUCAGAGAGGUUGCAAAUGCUCCUCCAACACUACAAGACUGCUUUAGGUCCUGAGGCCUCUAUCCUUGGACCUUUGGAAGAGGAAGAUCAAAGUGGCCUCAGCAGUCCAGACUCCAGUGAGGAAGAAGAGGGAAACAACUUAGAUUGAAGCUGAACAAAGGAUCGUUAUGAAGGAAAUGGACUUGUCACUUUUGUUAAGCUCAUGACGUUCCUUUCAGCGCCACCCUCAGACCACAAUGUUAAAAUGGAUAUUUCGAGGUCCUUUGGGCAGGUCGCCAAUUAAUUGUUUGAGCCUUUAUAGGAUGUUGUGUUACUUUAUAUCACUGCACUUAUUAACACAUCAAGACUAUAACUGCUUUACUGGAAUUGUGCAUUUUUGUUUCUUUGCCUUAAUUGCUUUGUCAGUGUUAUAUUUUUCAU